GUACACUCCUGCGGGAGGCAGCAGUGGGGAAUUUUGGACAAUGGGCGAAAGCCUGAUCCAGCAAUGCCGCGUGAGUGAAGAAGGCCUUCGGGUUGUAAAGCUCUUUUGUCAGGGAAGAAACGGUGAAAGCUAAUAUCUUUUGCUAAUGACGGUACCUGAAGAAUAAGCACCGGCUAACUACGUGCCAGCAGCCGCGGUAAUACGUAGGGUGCAAGCGUUAAUCGGAAUUACUGGGCGUAAAGCGUGCGCAGGCGGUUUUGUAAGUCUGAUGUGAAAUCCCCGGGCUCAACCUGGGAAUUGCAUUGGAGACUGCAAGGCUAGAAUCUGGCAGAGGGGGGUAGAAUUCCACGUGGAGCAGUGAAAUGCGUAGAUAUGUGGAGGAACACCGAUGGCGAAGGCAGCCCCCUGGGUCAAGAUUGACGCUCAUGCACGAAAGCGUGGGGAGCAAACAGGAUUAGAAACCCCUGUAGUCCC
rnacentral:rRNA from 1 species